GCCAAAGCAGUGUAACUGUAAACAUUCUAGAUGUUUAAAGUUGUAUUGUGAAUGCUUUGCUUCUGGCAUUUUUUGUGAUGGGUGCAACUGUGCGAAUUGUCAUAAUAAUGUCGAAAAUGAAGCUUCUAGGGAAGAAGCUGUUGAAGCUACUCUAGAGCGUAAUCCAAAUGCAUUCAGACCUAAAAUCGCCAGCAGUCCCCAUGGAACUCGAGAGGAGGAAGCUGGGGAUGGCUUAGUACUGCCAAAGCAUAACAAAGGUUGCCACUGCAAGAAAUCGGGUUGCCUGAAGAAGUACUGUGAGUGCUUCCAAGCCAACAUUCUUUGCUCUGAAAAUUGCAGAUGCAUGGACUGCAAAAAUUUUGAAGGAAAUGAAGAGAGGCAGGCACAUUUCCAUGGAUAUCAUGCCAACAACAUGGCAUAUCUCCAGCAGACAGCAAAUGUUGCUAUAACUGAUGCCAUUGGAUCCUCUGGUUAUGGAUCUCCUCCAGUGAAUAAGAAAAGAAAGAGCCAGGAACUGUUCUUUGGGUCAACAAUUAAGGACCCUAUUCACAGGCAUGGACAACUCCAACAGGGGAACCAUAUUAAAUCUUCUGUCCUACCUUCAUUAUCUUCAAGUCCUGGUCCAUGUGUUGGA
rnacentral:misc_RNA from 1 species